AAUGGGACUAAAACACCAUAGUGUUGGAUACGAACAGAAUACAUGAAUUGCCUCAAGGCACAGAAGUAAAAAUGAGUGUCGUGAUCCGUAAAGCAAGCAUUGACACAGUGGAGACACACAUAACCAUCAGCGGAAAUACUGCUGCCGAGGAACGCUUGACCGAAGUAGC